AGUUUGGCGUGGGCUGCAGUUUUAGUACCAUUUCCUUCUGCACGUUGUUACUACUGGCUGUACCUGCUGAGCAGCAGAUCCAUAGCUGCAGAGCGUGCCAAGGACAAAUAAAUUCAUUUUCACCUUUUAUGCUUGAGCAGGUUGCUGCCCCCCUACAAACAGGUUGCAGCCUUGUGUUCUGUAAGAAGGUACUGCAGCAUCAGCCCUGUGUAACUGUGUCACACCACGGAGUACCACUCUGUGGGAAAGUGUAUUUACACAAUAAAACACCUUAAAUUUGCCUAUGCAAAACAGACUGGGAGUGAUUCACUAAUGUGUGAGCAAAUUGUGCAAGGAACUUCUUUCAGAAAAGCAGCACAGUUGGUCGUGGGGUUGUGAUUUCCUAUUUUGUGGGUGUGGGACGAGCUGUGGAGUUGCCAGGGCUGGGGGACAAACUGUGACAAAGUGCCACCAAGGACAAAAGCUCAGGAGCUGAAGUCCAGAGGGUUGGACCUGGUUUCACAGCAGUGAGACCAUUCAGCAUCAGUGGUGAGGACUCAAAGGGAGAUGACUGAGAGAGGCAGAGAAAUACUUCUUUUCAGGUUACCUGCUACUCUCUGGUGAAUCAAGAUGAGGAAGAAAAGAGCCCAGGUGGUUUAGUUGUUGUAUAAGUAUUUGCAAAGGUUUCUCAAACCCUUCCCUGAAGCAUCUGAUUUUGCUGCUGAUUCAGCUUUAUGGUCUAAACAGAGCACUUGUCUGAUCUGCUAUGGCAAAUUCCAAAUUCUGAAUAUCAUACAGAAUAAUCCAUAAGUAAACAGUGAUGUUCUCUGUAAAGUGUUUCACUUCCAGGCACUGGGCAUUUUCAUGGUUUUACAUGUAUGCCUUUGAAACUUUAACUCUGCUAAUCAGUGGAGUAUUCAAGGAUCUGUCCAGCUGUAUCCAAGGAUCUGACCAGGAAUGCUGGUCACUGUGAGCACUGGAAGCCAGUCAUUGGGUUAUUUUCAUGUGCAAUUCUUGUAUGAAGAAUGAUCAGUGUUUGUUGAAGCUUGUUUUGUUUUUUUUUUCAGGGUUGGGAUUAAAUGGCCUUUUAAGGAGCUGCAGGUGUGUGUGUGUGCAGCUGCAAUGGGUUAGCCCAAACAGCAGGAAAGGUGAAUGGUGCAGAGUGCCCUGGGGGGAGUGGUGCAGCCUGCAGUGACAAAACCUGUCCUGGCUCCAGCCCCUGAUGUGCAGGAAUCAGCAGCCACUUGCCCUCUGACACUGGGUUGGGAUGGGAAAGGUGAGUCCGGGCUCAAGAUGUUGCUUAUUCAUGUAACAGUUUGUGUCAAGUAGGCAUUUUCUUGUUCCUUCCUUUUGAUCUUUUUUACACACCCUAAUUAUGGAUACAGUCUUGACAAAGAUGAUAAAGGGCCUCAGGGGUUAUAAAACAGGAGGUGAGGUUAAGAAAAUUAUGUUUAUAUUCAUUAGAAUAGAAGAGAUUAAGAGGGGUCAUGACCAAGGUGUACAAAAUCCAAAAAGUACUGAAGAAGAAAUGACGUCUCCAGAAUAUUUAAGAGAGGAGCUGUAAAGAGAGGGGUAAGUGGAGAGCAGCUGGCAUUUUGAUUGGAAUUGGUUGUGGGACAUUUUUUAAAGGGUGUUGCUCUUGCUGAGGAAAAUUAACUUGCACUGAUGGGUGAGCUGUAGGCAGAUAACUUAGGACACAGAUAUGUUGUUGGCCAGAAUUAUAAGAUAUGUCAUAUAACUUCUUUUUGGAAUGUCUGAGUGGGUUUGGGCAGACAGUAAUGGAUUAACAAAGGGAUUCACCUUUUGAGCUUGUUUGGAAUAAUGUUGGAUAUGUUGGAAGGGGAAAGUCCCACAUUUUUAUAUUGAAAAGGCUUUGUGCAAACUUGUUAAUUAAAGCAGUGCUGUUAACUUGUUAACUAGAGAGGCUUUUGGGGGAUCUAUGCACAAAGAUAACUUUGGGGGAAUAGCAUAGCAAAGAAAACUUUUCAGUAAUGUGUAUUGGUGACAAACCAAAGAUUGUGUGGCCAAGAACAGCACCAGCUGUGCAGCCACAUAGGCUAAAAUCAGAAGGACAGAGAGGCAAAAUCAGUUAUGGCUGUAAAAGGUCAUGAAAUUACUUACAAACACACUGGAAGUAAGAGGAAGGCAGAAGUCCAUCUGGAAGCAAGGGAAGCAAAUAAAUG
ensembl:lncRNA